rnacentral:miRNA from 1 species
UGUGGCUCUCCCUGUGAAGAGA